GUUUCCACGUAGGAACGUAAUCAUUUCUCCAUUUCGUCAUUCCGCGAAUCGUCGAUUCGGUUUCCAAUUUUCAACGGAGAUUCAGAUCCAAUAGUACGAAAUCUAGGGUCAAUAGAGAGAAAGGAGAGAGGCAGAUGCAAGCAACCGAACUUCUUACAUCAGGACCUGAUCCAUUAAAGCAGCAAAAGAAGAGGAAGAAGAGGAAGAAGGCUAGGUUAUCAACGAACAUUCAGGAGGCUUUGGAGGACAAAGAUCUGGGUAAUACAUCAGAGAGUGCAGAAGUCAAUCUACUUGAUAAACAGUGUGAUGUCACUUUUAGCAGUGAUUUGAAAGCAUCUGAGGAGGAGAAAGCAGAUGCUUUAUGUAGAGUUGUAGGGACUCGCUCACUAGUGGAGAAGCAUAACUUGCCAUCCACAAGCAGUCAAGAGGCGUUGGGGGAGAAAGAUCCAAGUAUCAGUAUAUUAGAGGAUGGAGAGGUUGAUCUGAAUAAAAGUAAGAAGAGAAAAAGUAAUGUUAUUUCUUCAAAUAAUAAUUUGGUUGCAUCCAAGGAAGAAUUUCUCACCACUGGAAUGGUUUGUGAAGUCCAUGACAUCACCUUGGAAGACAUUUCGACCUUAACAUCGCAAGUUAAUGGGAAUUCAGUGACUGCUUUACAAACAGUAGAAACACAUGAAGAAAUAACCACGACAAAUAAAAAGAGAAGGGGUAAGAAUAAAAAUAGGUGUAAUGCCCUUGAAAAUAGCGCAACUAAGAAGCCUGUGGAGGAGGAUAUCCUGUGUACUCAGUAUCAAACAAAUAUCGAGUCCGUUGAAGAAGAUAACGAGAUGAAAAAUAAUGUGCCUUCAGAAAGCAUGGAUACUGACUUGAUUGAGAUUGAUGUGAGAUCAACAGAGGUGAAAAACACUAGUAGUUCAUUGGAAGGUGUACAAAAUGGUCUCAUGGCUGAGGCUUCCACUAGUAAUUCAAGUAAGACACCUUUAUUGAAUUGUGCUAAGAGGAGGAAUCGAAGGAAGAAGGCAAAGCAGAUUUUGUGUGAAGAUAAACCACCUAAUGAUAUCUCUGAAGUUGGCCUUCUAGAUGAUGAUAACCUAGUUCAGGAGCAUGUGGAUGAGACAAGUAAGGUCCAGCUAAUAGUUGAGAAAUGCGGUGCUUCUCUGGAUGAAAACAUUGAAGAAUCUCUGACUAAUAGUGAGGAGGAAGGAUUGCCUUCUUCGACAACUGGAUGUGUUACAGAUGAUGUUACUUCGUUGGAUCCGUUGGAUUUGUCCAUUUCACUUGAUAGAGCACCUGCUAGUAAUGCUAGAAGAAAGCUUCUUAUUCUUGAUUUGAAUGGAUUGCUUGCUGAUGUUGUUUCUUUCCAAUUCAAUGAUCAUAAACCAGAUUUCAAAGUUGCCGGCAAAUCAGUUUUUAAGAGGCCGUUCUGUGACGAAUUCUUGAAGUUCUGCUUUGAGAAAUUUGAUGUUGGUGUGUGGUCCUCCAGAAGAGAAAAUAAUGUGAAGACUGUGGUUAAUUUUCUUAUGGGAGAUUUGCAACGUAAGCUAUUAUUCUGCUGGGGCCAAUCUAAAUGCACAGUGACAGGGUUCAAUACUGUGGAGAAUAGGCAUAAGCCAUUGUUUUUGAAGGAACUAAAGAAACUAUGGGAUAAAGAUGAGCCAUCUCUUCCAUGGGAGAAGGGGGAGUACACCCCAUCAAACACAUUGUUGUUGGAUGAUUCCCCUCACAAGGCUCUUCGCAACCCUCCAUACACUGCGAUCUUCCCAAGUCCCUACUAUUAUAAGAAUAAAAAUGACAACUCUUUAGGUCCCGAAGGAGAUCUUCGAGUUUAUCUGGAAGGGAUACUCAGAGCCGAUAAUGUUCCACAUUAUGUGAAACAACACCCAUUUGGCCAACGUGCGAUUACGGAUUCAAAUCCAUCUUGGCCGUUUUACCUUCAGGUUAUUGGUGUUGAGCAUUCUCCGCCACCAACUUGAUGACAAUGAUGAUAUCAGGGUAUCUCAGACUUCCGCUGUAAUGAUAUGCACUUGCUGUUCCAAUCUGUAGAUGACUUAUCAAAUCAAUCGUGGUUCUAGAAGUAUUGCCUGGCAGCCAUUUGUGGGAGAGCAUGAAUCAUUUGAAAUGUUUGUGCUGGAUUUCUCGUAUUUUUUAAGGAGAUCUGGGAGCAUUUGGUUUCUGGCCGCAGUAGAGUUUGGUUCUCUCCUCAAAGAGCAUCACAAAAUUGCGUAUGGAGAUGGGCUCCUGAAUCCAACCACUUGUCAUUUGGCGUUUUCACUAAAACUUAGGUAUUUUUAUUACUCCCCGUUGUGUUUUUCUUCCUUGAUAAAAUAAUAGUUUUUUGGAUCGUAUUCUUGAAAUAAUUUUGUUGUUGUAGAGUAUGCAUUUGAGCACUGAGUUAGGUUCAGGAUGUGCUCCUAUUGAGCGCUUACGAAUUACAAUAGAUAAAUCCAUUUCAUGCUUUUUUCUUCC